rnacentral:rRNA from 1 species
UACGAAGGGGGCUAGCGUUACUCGGAUUGACUGGGCGUAAAGGGCGCGUAGGCGGCUUGUACAGUCAGACGUGAAAUUCCUGGGCUCAACCUGGGGGCUGCGUUUGAUACGUGCGGGCUUGAAUCCGGGAGAGGGAUGUGGAAUUCCAGGUGUAGCGGUGAAAUGCGUAGAUAUCUGGAGGAACACCGGUGGCGAAGGCGGCAUCCUGGACCGGUAUUGACGCUGAGGAGCGAAAGCCAGGGGAGCAAACGGG